CGUCAUGGAUGGUCUGGAGGAACGCAUGUGGAGACAUCUGAAGACUCUAAACAAAUUUUAUGAAAUGGUAAUGCAGCUGCGUUUGUGUUUCACUGGUACGUUGGAGUCUUACAAUUUCCCUUUGACUUUUGUUGCGCAUGAGAGCAUCGUCAUGGAUGGCCUGGAGGAACGCAUGUGGAGACAUCUGAAGACUCUAAACAAAUUUUAUGAAAUGGUAAUGCAGCUGCGUUUGUGUUUCACUGGUACGUUGGAGUCUUACAAUUUCCCUUUGACUUUUGUUGCGCAUGAGAGCAUCGUCAUGGAUGGCCUGGAAGAACACAUGUGGAGACAUCUGAAGACUCUAAACAAAUUUUAUGAAAUGGUAAUGCAGCUGCGUUUGUGUUUCACUGAUUUCAGAUUACUGAGAACACUUUUUCACGGAUACUUGGUACAGAGGUACAUGCUACUGUUCCUUUGUGUUGGGCAAUGAUCUUCUAAGGAACUGCGACAGACAAAUCGAAAAUCGAGGGAGAAGCUUUUCACAGUAACAACAGCUUGGAGAGUGCGUGUGACGGGAAUAUAUUUCUGUAUCCCUGGGCCUGAUUGUGAUGAUACACAUCAAAGGUCUGUUGCUACAAACAACAGGCUGCUCCUGAGGCAUUUCUGUGCAUAAAAGACAGAAUUUUCUCUGAAGUGUAAACAUGCUCUUUCUAUCCAAGACCUCGUGUACCAGUGAACAUGCCUACUUGUGAAUGCUCAAUUUUGCUUUGAGGGCAUGUUUCUUGCUCAACAGGCAUAUCAGAACAUCAUAUGAACUGCCAGUCCUUGAUAAACUACAACCUGUUCUAAAGAAUUCAUAAAAGCAAGGCAUGAAUGCAAAAAACUUGUUCUUGUCUCUUGGUAGUGAGUAAUGUGCAUAGUUGUUUGUUAUUGUGUCUAAACAGAGUGACUUGUAGCAAUAUCUGACUUCUCCAUUACAAAGUGCACAUGAACGUAUCUAUGAAUGAUAAUAAAAUAAUUCGAGGCUUUAUAUCGUGAAACAACUGUGAUCCUAUCUGUGAAUGACUUAUUGCUUGCAGAAUAAUAAUUACCACUGUGAGUACAACUAAUAAAAAGUUCAUUAGGA